AAGGCUUCUCGGUAUCUCUCUUCCUUCAGUUUUCUCUCUCUUUAAUUCAACUGAGAAAUCGGGAAUCUGGAACAGCCAGCAAGUUAGCGCAACCUCCUCGUCUUCCAAUUUUUCUAUUUUCUAAUAUUUUUAUAAUAAAGAAUGAAAUUAUUGUUUGCUGAUGUCGUUCCCGCAUCAGUUGGCUUUAAGGUUUCACAGGAGACGGUUUCCUCCUCCUCCUGCGGUCUCCACCUGCUGCUCCUUCGCUACUCCUCCUCCCCGUGACUCUUCUUUUCUUUCCACUUCAUCCUCUUCUUCCGUCGCUAUGUCUCCCGAAAUCUCGAUGCUCAUUCGCCGAGCUGCUUUUAUUUUCACCGCCGUCACCCUCUCCGCUUUGCUCCUUUACACUGCUAAUGAUUCCCUCCGCUUCCUUCGUUUGUCGCCCGGUUACCUUUCUUCACCCUCUUUCUCUCGCUUUUUCCCUUACUUGUACGAUAACUCUUCUUCUACGAACUCCAUGCAACAGCUUGAAGAAGUUUUGAAGAACGCUUCCAUGAAGAGUAAUACGGUCAUUUUAACAACUUUAAAUGAUGCCUGGGCGAGUCCCAAUUCAGUUGUUGACCUUUUCCUUCGGAGCUUUAUGCUUGGAGAUGACACACGUAGGCUUUUGGACCAUUUGGUGAUUGUUGCCUUGGAUGAAAAGGCAUAUAAUCGUUGUCAGCUUGUACAUAAGCAUUGCUAUGCUCUUGUCACUGAGGAUGUUGAUUUUCAUCAGGAAGCAUACUUUAUGACCCCACACUACUUGAAGAUGAUGUGGAGAAGGAUUGAUUUCCUGCGAUCUGUCCUUGAGUUGGGUUAUAGUUUUGUUUUCACGGACGCUGAUAUCAUGUGGUUUAGGGAUCCGUUUCCACGGUUCUUCUCAGAUGCUGAUUUCCAGAUUGCAUGCGACAACUUUUUAGGCAGACCUGAUGAUAUGAAUAACAGACCCAAUGGGGGAUUUAACUAUGUAAAGUCCAAUAAUCGGUCAAUAGAAUUCUACAAAUUCUGGUAUUCUUCACGUGAAACUUAUCCAGGAUAUCAUGAUCAAGAUGUCCUUAAUAAGAUCAAGUUUCAUCCUUUCAUCUCAGAGAUUGGACUGAAGAUUAGAUUUUUGGAUACUGCUUAUUUUGGUGGCCUUUGUGAACCUAGCAAAGAUUUGAAUUUAGUGUGCACAAUGCAUGCAAAUUGCUGUUAUGGUAUGGAUAGCAAGCUUCAUGAUCUCAAAAUUAUGCUUCAAGACUGGAGAGCAUUUAUGUCAUUGCCACCAGACCUGAAGAAGGAAUCUAUUUUCUCCUGGAGGGUCCCUCAGAACUGCAGUCUUAGUUCUUUACGCCAUUUUGAUUCCCCACCUCCAGAGAUGAAGGCUCAACAAGAGGAAAAACAUUGAUUGGAAUUGUACAUAUCUUUAAAUUAUUUUCCGUCAAAAGAUAAAUGAGAGGAUGUUAGCAAGAUCAUGUAUCUAGUUGAAGAAGCUUGAAUGUCUAAACUUAACACACGAAAAGGAAGGCUUAAAAGAGUUUGGCUCUUUUUACUAAAAAUAUUUCAUUCACAAGGCAAACUUUUUUGAAUGAAUUGCAAGCCAGAGUACUUGAUAAAUAAAACGCAAAAAAAAAAAAAAAAAAAAAAGAAGGAAAGAAAGAAA